GGGCCUUCUUCGAUGAAAAGAGCCGCUGCUGCCCUGAGCGGAAAGCGAGCAAAGCGGUUGGUGCUAAAUAGAGAGAAAAGAAAAAGAGAAUACAAAGUGAAGAAAAAAAUGACAAAAGCGGCGGCCAGUUUUUUGCGCGAACGAAAAGAAGAGGAAGAAGAAUUAGGGGUGCCCAGGUGGGCAGACGAUGGGCGGCCUCCGCGCCACCGUCGUGAGAACGUGCGCGGCAGCAGCAGCAGAAGAGCGCGAUGACGUGCGCCACUCUGCAGAAGCGGACGAACCGAAAUGGUGCUAAGAUGGCGGCCGCUUGUGCAGAAGGUUGGCUCUGAAGGAGACUGCCCUAUUCAGGACGCCGCCGCCACGGCUUUCGCGCGUCUUCUCUUUCACGUUGCUGCAUUGCUUGUCUGGCUGAUUACGCUACGGCCGAGCUUGCUGUUUAUUCGUUCCUUAUUCGGUGCUCACCCGCUAUCGUCGCCACCCUCCGACGCCACCGCCGUUUUCCAACACCACUACCAGUUUGCUGGGCAUUCGCCUUUUUUUUUUUCUCUCUCCCGCGUUUCUCUUCGCUCCGCAGCGAACGCGCUCUCUUCUUUUGCGUAUACUAUACACACGCGCAAACACACACACAGACACGCUGCCCAACGCACGCACACGCAGACACGCAACACGUUUUUAGUCCUAUACUUCUUUCCCACUUCUUAGACGCGUCUGUGCCUCCUCUCCGCCGUUCGUGAAUCAAAACGUGACACGCCAUCGCGCCCGCAUUCCGAGACCGGAAAGGCCGCCGUCACCGCCGCCGCGGAGGCUCGUUCCCCACGUGACCACGUACGCGCCAUGACGUAAAGCAUGUGACAAACCCCACGUGACCUUGACGCACGUGAUCCUCUUCGCGCUCUCCACAGCUCUCUCCUCCUCUCCGUUUACGCACUUGCCGAGCGUUAUAAAAACGAGCGAACCUCCACAGCUCGGUCGAAUUACGCUUCUCUGCGUGCAAGUGUCUCAUCCUCCGAUCGAGAUCGCUCUUCUCUUGGGACUUUCGGACCCCGCCCCAUCAACAGCGAACAUGUCCAGCUCCGGAGACGUCUGCUGCGAAGGCAAGCCCGAGUGCUGCAACGAGACCAGCGAGGUGAAGAACGACGCCGAGGCCAAGGCUGAGGCAGCCGCCACCGAGGUGCCCGAGGCGGCGCCGGCUCCGGCCGGCGGCGAGAGCGCCGCACCGGCCGACGCUGUGCCGCAGGACGGCGCCAGCUCGUAGCCGCCGGGGAACAACCACCGGCGGCGCUGCCUGCCUCUGCCGCCACCGCUUCUUCGCAAUUCUCGUCGCUGCUGCCCGCCGACGACAACCGCCUCGUCGACGACCGAUCACCGAGACCGCCGGAGGUUCCGUCGUCUGGUCUUUUCUGGUCAUCUGAAGCUUUCCGCCUCGCCGUACCGGAAGUACUGGACCGGACUCUGGCAGGUCGACCGAGAUUCUUCACCAUCGCCCCCCUAAUCAAGGAAGAUGCGAGACGGAAGCCCGGGAGGCUGCGAUUCUGCCUGCGAAGGCGCCAUCCUCCUGCUUCCUUCACGUCUUCCAGUGAAUCGAGCCACGAACCGAAAUGAGCGAGUCCUCACACCAUGAUCAAUUCGCCCGCAUGGAACGUUUUUCCUUUGCAUGCCGAAAUCGACACUCUUGAGGACAGCGAGCGGUCAGCGACCAACUUGCAUAGGCCGCAGUCGACCAAGACCAUCCAUGGAUUCGCCUGGCCACUCGUCGUCGUGGUUUUACUCCAGUUGUCACCGGAAAGGUUGGCUCGGUAGGAGAAGAGGUGGACAACCACCAAACUAAAAGCAGCAGGCGGGAGCUGCGGAGCGGCGCAAACGCGAGUCAGAGUUGGAAGAUUCCUAAGAGAUAAAAAAAAAAGUGAAACGAAAACGCGCGGAGCGCCGACUUAUCCUAUAUGCUAUAUAUUUAUGUAAUGAAACCACUCAGCUCGUGUAUACACCCGCUGGCAACAAAAAACGACAAAAAAAUUAUAAAAAGAGAGAGAAAAGAGAAGAUAGAAGCGGUGCGCCCUCUUCUUUUUUGUACAUUUCUGAGAAUAAAAGAAUAAUAAACCACAAAA